AAAUUGAAGAGUUUGAUCAUGGCUCAGAUUGAACGCUGGCGGCAGGCCUAACACAUGCAAGUCGAGCGGUAGCACAGAGAGCUUGCUCUCGGGUGACGAGCGGCGGACGGGUGAGUAAUGUCUGGGAAACUGCCUGAUGGAGGGGGAUAACUACUGGAAACGGUAGCUAAUACCGCAUAACGUCGCAAGACCAAAGUGGGGGACCUUCGGGCCUCAUGCCAUCAGAUGUGCCCAGAUGGGAUUAGCUAGUAGGUGGGGUAACGGCUCACCUAGGCGACGAUCCCUAGCUGGUCUGAGAGGAUGACCAGCCACACUGGAACUGAGACACGGUCCAGACUCCUACGGGAGGCAGCAGUGGGGAAUAUUGCACAAUGGGCGCAAGCCUGAUGCAGCCAUGCCGCGUGUGUGAAGAAGGCCUUCGGGUUGUAAAGCACUUUCAGCGGGGAGGAAGGCGAUAAGGUUAAUAACCUUGUCGAUUGACGUUACCCGCAGAAGAAGCACCGGCUAACUCCGUGCCAGCAGCCGCGGUAAUACGGAGGGUGCAAGCGUUAAUCGGAAUUACUGGGCGUAAAGCGCACGCAGGCGGUCUGUCAAGUCGGAUGUGAAAUCCCCGGGCUCAACCUGGGAACUGCAUUCGAAACUGGCAGGCUAGAGUCUUGUAGAGGGGGGUAGAAUUCCAGGUGUAGCGGUGAAAUGCGUAGAGAUCUGGAGGAAUACCGGUGGCGAAGGCGGCCCCCUGGACAAAGACUGACGCUCAGGUGCGAAAGCGUGGGGAGCAAACAGGAUUAGAUACCCUGGUAGUCCACGCCGUAAACGAUGUCGAUUUGGAGGUUGUGCCCUUGAGGCGUGGCUUCCGGAGCUAACGCGUUAAAUCGACCGCCUGGGGAGUACGGCCGCAAGGUUAAAACUCAAAUGAAUUGACGGGGGCCCGCACAAGCGGUGGAGCAUGUGGUUUAAUUCGAUGCAACGCGAAGAACCUUACCUGGUCUUGACAUCCACAGAACUUAGCAGAGAUGCUUUGGUGCCUUCGGGAACUGUGAGACAGGUGCUGCAUGGCUGUCGUCAGCUCGUGUUGUGAAAUGUUGGGUUAAGUCCCGCAACGAGCGCAACCCUUAUCCUUUGUUGCCAGCGGUCCGGCCGGGAACUCAAAGGAGACUGCCAGUGAUAAACUGGAGGAAGGUGGGGAUGACGUCAAGUCAUCAUGGCCCUUACGACCAGGGCUACACACGUGCUACAAUGGCGCAUACAAAGAGAAGCGACCUCGCGAGAGCAAGCGGACCUCAUAAAGUGCGUCGUAGUCCGGAUUGGAGUCUGCAACUCGACUCCAUGAAGUCGGAAUCGCUAGUAAUCGUAGAUCAGAAUGCUACGGUGAAUACGUUCCCGGGCCUUGUACACACCGCCCGUCACACCAUGGGAGUGGGUUGCAAAAGAAGUAGGUAGCUUAACCUUCGGGAGGGCGCUUACCACUUUGUGAUUCAUGACUGGGGUGAAGUCGUAACAAGGUAACCGUAGGGGAACCUGCGGUUGGAUCACCUCCUUA
rnacentral:rRNA from 1 species